CACAUAAAUAAUUCACAAAGCAAUUUCUACAAGGCCAUGGCAGUGUGACAUAGAAAUCAAUGAUGCCCAGGCACAAGGACAGACCGUUUUACAACUCACAGACCCAUCAGAUGGUUACAUCAUUCUUCCGGUUGUUGAGUAUUUUCCCUGAUGUCACUGCCAAGUUGCUGGGUUCAUUCAUCAGGAAACAGAGAGUCCAUGAAGAGAUUAAGAGGACUGGAGUGCAAUACCAGAGUGCCAGAAGUGAUUGGAAUUUUUCUUCAUGGGAACACCUAGCUCAUCAGUUGUGGUAGAAAGUCAAGGCCAUCUUCUUUGCCUACAGAUUCAUUACCUCCUUUGUUGACUACACCAUAAUCUCUGACUGGUGAGAACAUGUCACCUAGGCUACUUUCCCCAGUAUCAUCAAAGUUGGAGAAAUCUUGACUUUUUCCACCAUCUGCUUCCUUAGAUAAAAAUAUCUGUAUUUAUGCUUCUGUGCAAGCCUUCUUUGUCCUGCACAGUAACGGCUCCUCUGCCCACAGCUGUCGUCAUGGGCUGUGGGAGAACUGUGGCAAUGGAAGGGGCAGUUGCUUCUCUGACUCUUCUGGAAUUUUAGCAGCCCCACUGCCGCCACUCACAGCAACACUCCCUUUGCUCACUGAUGUGACCUUUUUUGAGCAGCCUUUACUUAAACUUGCCUUCAUCAGAGACGUGGAGUGCUGAAAUGCCAUACACUACACAGAUGUCUUGUGGGCACUGAUGGUUUUCACGGGUGACUUCAGCAUCUUUAAGUCAUAUUGAUAUAUUUUACCACAGGAAGAUCCAAUAGCCAAAGUGGCUCCAUUAGGCAUAAAAUCUACUGCAGUCAGAGGAGUGUCAGCCACCAAAGUUUUCACUAGCUUCUUACUUGAAGUGUCAUAGAGGAUGAUUCUUUUAUCCAGGUCUAUGGUUACAAACAGCAAUUCAUUGACAGGAGAGAAACAGAUGCCUGAAGCUGCAGCCUUGUGGGUACUAUCAAAGCUGUGGUAUGAACUCUGACUGCUCACAUUCCAGAGGGUCACUACUCCGUUAUCCGAAAUUCUACCAAGGAGAGACUUCCUAAACAAGGAGUACUUCACGUUCCAGAUAGGCUGAUUAUUCCCAUGGCCAAAAGGUGUACUGGAUGAAUUAGUGCUUACACUGUGCAAAAUAAUCUCACCACUGAGAGACCCAGAAGCAAUGUAGCAGUCAUCCUAAUUGUAGGCCACCCAAGUUACUUCACCUUUAUGAUCCUAAAGAGACCGAUGAACUCGCUUUGAUUUUAAAUCCCAAUUA
rnacentral:lncRNA from 1 species